rnacentral:lncRNA from 1 species
UGGGGGUAACUGCGUAGUAUCCUCUGGUUAUAUAAGCAGCGCGCUCUGCCCAUACUUCACAGAAGGUUCACGUCUCCAGUGAAGUACGAGCUGCUGGUGUGUAAAAGUUAUCAUUGAAGUACGAGUAUACCCAAAGUUCAUCUAGUACUAUCAAUUCUUUCAACUAUGGAUCUUUCCAAGCUGAAUGAGGUUAAUUGUUUGGUUGGACUCUUACCCGUCAAGAAAAUGACUGAGUUGGAGUUUAAUCGAGAGUACAAAAUCAAAGGGUUAAAACAAGUCUCAACACAGUAUGGAAUAAGGAUUGUUGCAAAUAUUGAUAACGAGUUCAACAUCUAUUUACCGGCUAGAGCUGCAGUAUUAUUAAAAGGUGAUGGCGUCAUGGAGAUGUUGAAUGAUUUAUCAGAAUCAAAUCACUUAUUUAUCUGUUAUCAUGGCGGAAAAUACAAUAAAUUCGAAUUUAUCAAUUCUACUCUUGAUGUAAAAAGUACCAGUAGACCUAUUUAAAUCAAUAAAAUAUUUCAUUUUUCAUAUGAAUAA